UACGUAGGGUGCAAGCGUUAAUCGGAAUUCCUGGGCGUAAAGCGUGCGCAGGCGGUUAUGCAAGACAGAUGUGAAAUCCCCGGGCUCAACCUGGGAACUGCAUUUGUGACUGCAUGGCUAGAGUACGGUAGAGGGGGAUGGAAUUCCGCGUGUAGCAGUGAAAUGCGUAGAUAUGCGGAGGAACACCGAUGGCGAAGGCAAUCCCCUGGACCUGUACUGACGCUCAUGCACGAAAGCGUGGGGAGCAAACAGG
rnacentral:rRNA from 1 species